GGGCUACCAUGCAGUCGACGGGAUCCAUCAGGCUUUGCUUGGUGGUGAGAGUGGCGAACGGGUGAGUAAUGCGUGACCGACCUGCCCCAUGCACCGGAAUAGCUCCUGGAAACGGGUGGUAAUGCCGGAUGCUCCAUCACACUGCAUGGUGUGUUGGGAAAGCCUUUGCGGCAUGGGAUGGGGUCGCGUCCUAUCAGCUUGAUGGCGGGGUAACGGCCCACCAUGGCUUCGACGGGUAGCCGGCCUGAGAGGGCGACCGGCCACAUUGGGACUGAGAUACGGCCCAGACUCCUACGGGAGGCAGCAGUGGGGAAUAUUGCACAAUGGGCGCAAGCCUGAUGCAGCGACGCCGCGUGAGGGAUGGAGGCCUUCGGGUUGUAAACCUCUUUUGUUAGGGAGCAAGGCACUUUGUGUUGAGUGUACCUUUCGAAUAAGCACCGGCUAACUACGUGCCAGCAGCCGCGGUAAUACGUAGGGUGCAAGCGUUAUCCGGAAUUAUUGGGCGUAAAGGGCUCGUAGGCGGUUCGUCGCGUCCGGUGUGAAAGUCCAUCGCUUAACGGUGGAUCCGCGCCGGGUACGGGCGGGCUUGAGUGCGGUAGGGGAGACUGGAAUUCCCGGUGUAACGGUGGAAUGUGUAGAUAUCGGGAAGAACACCAAUGGCGAAGGCAGGUCUCUGGGCCGUUACUGACGCUGAGGAGCGAAAGCGUGGGGAGCGAACAGGAUUAGAUACCCUGGUAGUCCACGCCGUAAACGGUGGAUGCUGGAUGUGGGGCCCGUUCCACGGGUUCCGUGUCGGAGCUAACGCGUUAAGCAUCCCGCCUGGGGAGUACGGCCGCAAGGCUAAAACUCAAAGAAAUUGACGGGGGCCCGCACAAGCGGCGGAGCAUGCGGAUUAAUUCGAUGCAACGCGAAGAACCUUACCUGGGCUUGACAUGUUCCCGACGAUCCCAGAGAUGGGGUUUCCCUUCGGGGCGGGUUCACAGGUGGUGCAUGGUCGUCGUCAGCUCGUGUCGUGAGAUGUUGGGUUAAGUCCCGCAACGAGCGCAACCCUCGCCCCGUGUUGCCAGCGGAUUAUGCCGGGAACUCACGGGGGACCGCCGGGGUUAACUCGGAGGAAGGUGGGGAUGACGUCAGAUCAUCAUGCCCCUUACGUCCAGGGCUUCACGCAUGCUACAAUGGCCGGUACAACGGGAUGCGACAGUGCGAGCUGGAGCGGAUCCCUGAAAACCGGUCUCAGUUCGGAUCGCAGUCUGCAACUCGACUGCGUGAAGGCGGAGUCGCUAGUAAUCG
rnacentral:rRNA from 1 species